rnacentral:tRNA from 1 species
GCAAGCCUUAACAGAGUAGAACAGCUACCUUGACACGGUAGGGGUCACAGGUUCGAACCCUGUAUCGCGCACCA